CCUACGGGAGGCUGCAGUGGGGAAUUGUUCGCAAUGGGCGCAAGCCUGACGACGCAACGCCGCGUGGAGGAUGAAGAUCUUCGGGUCGUAAACUCCUGCGGGAGAACCCGCGGUACCGCUAAAGGAAGCCCCGGCUAACUCCGUGCCAGCAGCCGCGGUAAUACGGGGGGGGCAAGCGUUGUUCGGAAUUACUGGGCGUAAAGGGCUCGUAGGUGGCCAACUAAGUCAGACGUGAAAUCCCCAGGCUCAACUUGGGAACUGCGUCUGAUACUGGAUGGCUUGAAUUCGGGAGAGGGAUGCAGAAUUCCAGGUGUAGCGGUGAAAUGCGUAGAUAUCUGGAGGAAUACCGGUGGCGAAGGCGGCAUCCUGGACCGAAUUGACACUGAUGAGCGAAAGCCAGGGGAGCAAACGGGAUUAGAUACCCUUGUAGUC
rnacentral:rRNA from 1 species